rnacentral:lncRNA from 1 species
CUGGGUUAUGAAUGAUUGAUUCUGAUGCACAUACAAAAUACAACGUUGUACCAAACCCCAUAUCCUCUCAAGCAGAGGUCAAUUCAAAAACAUCUGUUUAUAGAUGAGUAUCAUAGUUGACUUCAACGACAUUGGAGACGAUCAACAAAGACAAAGACCAAAAAAAAAAAAACAGUGCUUUGAGAAGAAGACGAAGCAACCCUCUAUAUAAUCUACCUCUUAUUCCGGAACGGGAAUCAGACUUGGAAAAUAAAUACAGCUACAAAUUGACAGGCCAUUGAAGUCAUUCAGUGGACGUGUUGCUGUCACAAUUUCCUUUCUGACACCACCUUCAUGAUCAAUAUCGUACAGAGUGAAGAAAGAAUACAACUGCUCAUCUCCUUGUACAGUUCCCACACGCUCACACCAUGCCACGAUAUUUCUGUGCUUGCCGAUGGAGAAUCCCGGACUAGUAUAGAGCUGUAACCGCGGAAGAUCAGGAGUAGUAGCGACAUUGAAAAACUUGGUAAACGAAAUGACCUCAUCACUCAACUUGUUUGUUAUCCACACCUCAAUGUCUCUUGAUUCUCCUCCAGCUUGUGUUAACAAAGAGAUUUUAUCUCCACUGUAACAUUCUAAUCGUUUAGUACUGUCCCAAAAGAGAGGACAAGCGCAUAUCUCUUUGAAUGUUUCCACGGAGAAGUUAAAACAUAGAAUGAUACAACGUUCCUCCGUUUCAGCAAUCCAAUACAUGUUGCCCUUCACAGACACGCUACAUUCCCACUCCAUAUCUAAACCCGCAUCAAACCCAGCAUCAAUUGCUCUCCAUGAAGCAGACUUGAAUUCAUAGAUCUCACAAUCUCGAUAUGGUUCACCAUCAUUAUAAACAAACCUCAAGAUUUUGUAGUUAUCACGAGAUUCCCUGUGGUAUCCAAUCCCGAAAUAAUCACGUGACCAGAAACAAACCAAUGGAUCGAUCAAUUUGAUUUUCCUCAAGACCGGAUUCCAAACAGCCAGAAGGACGGUUUGGCCUCGGCCUCGUGUCCAAUCUUCACAUCUACACAGCAUUAGUCCAUCACAAUGAACCAUCCAAGAAACCGGAAACGGAUGAUGAAACUCGUCUGGGAUUGGUGUUUCUGUGUGGAUUCCGGUCACCGGAUCCAUGAUUUGAACCGCAUCAUGAUCAUGGAUUCUUAUGAAUCGUUCGGGAGUGUGAUCAUCCAAGUGCUUGUACAUGAAUCUUGUGUCGCUGCUGAUGAGAUUGUUCCAUUCCUUGCACGUCGCUUUGAAUCGGACCAAAGAUUCCACCGGAGUUCUGUAAAGUAUCUCUUCCACUAACCCAAUCGGCAACGACAAACCAUCCAUGGAUGACGCUUUGAAAAGAAAAGAAAAGAAGAAAGAGAUGUGACUAGAGUGAGAGAGAGAGAGAGAGAGAGAUAUUGAUUCUUGAAAGAUAUAACAAAGUUUUCUCUCUUCUGUUAGCUUUUAGUUGAAUUUAAAGCGCGAAUGAGGAAGAAGGAAACGAGAAAUUCAUUUUGUAAACCCAAACCAAACUGUGAUUCUCUUUUAACAACAUCAACAACGAUUCGACCAAGCGAACCGGUUCCGGUUCAUCCGAACCAAAAUUGUGGUUUCCAACCUACUGCAUAUGAGUGGAGCAUGCGACUCGGUUACGUUUAAACCGGACCGAAAUACCAAAGUAACCCAAAAAAUAUGUUAAAUGGAUUCUCCGAAUUAAAUUUUAGGGUAACUUCUUUCUUGGUUUCCAAGUUUUCUUUUAAAGUUUUAAUCAAGUCUCCUCUUGUCUCUUCCAUUAAUCUUCUUUUUAAGAGUACUACAUGUUCAAAAAAGAAAAAUUAUUAAAUGUUUUUUGGGUUAUUAUUAUUGCAUAAAUUCUAGAAAAACAAGUAUUUUGCAUCAAUUAGAAAGAAACGGUUGUGUUCUGCAUCUGUGUGUUAUGAAUGAUUGAUUCUAUAAUACACACAUACAAGUAUGCUCUGCACCAAAUCCAUAAUAUCUUCUCAAGAUCGUAAUGUCAAAACAAAAAGCAGAGGUCAAAUCAAAAAACAUCUGUGUAUAUUGAUAUCAUAGUUGACUUCAACAACAUUGGAGACGAUCAACAAAGACCACAAAAAAAGAAGUAAAGCAGAGCUUUGAGAAGAAGACGAAGCAACCCUCUAUAUAAUCUACCUCUUAUU